GGUACUAAAAAGCAGAAAGCGCAGAGUGUUGAGCAGGGGAAAUGGAAGUGGGAAAGCUGGUUUUGGUGUUGAGUUAUUUACAAUAUGGAUACCCUCUAUUUUUCCUUUACGUCAUCUUCCUUUCAGUUGAGAGAACUCCACAGUCACAUGAAGUAUCCACUUCCUCAGUCAAGUAUUUGCCAGGCUUCGGUUUUCUUCCUUUUCAACUUGAUACAGGAUAUAUAGGAGUUGGUGAAGGUGAACAAGUGCAACUUUUCUAUUAUUUUGUGAAGUCAGAGUCGGAUCCUGAAACCGACCCGCUUAUACUAUGGAUCACUGGUGGACCCGGUUGCUCUUCACUUGAAGGAUUGACUAUGGAAUUUGGUCCUCUGCACUUUGAUGAUAUGGAGUAUAAUGGUGAUUUACCUACUCUAUCAUUGAAUAACCAUUCAUGGACAAAGGUGGCAAGCAUAAUCUUUCUAGAUUUGCCUGUGAAGACCGGAUUUUCUUAUGCAACAACAGAAAAGGCAAAUAAUACAGAUAAUUUACAAACUGGCGAACAUGCUUACCAAUUUCUUCGGAAGUGGUUGGCUAAUCAUUCAAAGUUCCUACAAAGUCCAAUAUAUAUUGGCGGUGACUCGUACUCUGGGACAACUGUUCCAAUUGUUGUUCAAACAAUAUCAAAUGGGAAUGAUGCGAAGACCAAUCCAGUGAUUAAUCUUAAGGGUUACAUACUUGGAAAUCCUAUGACGAUUAAUCCAGAUGAAUUAAACUAUAGGAUCCCAUUUGCUCACGGUAUGGGACUUUUAUCUGAUGAACUGUACAAGGUGUUAUUGUCCAACUGUAGAGGAGAAUAUCAGAAUAUAGCUCCAGAAAAUUCAGCUUGUUCUAAUAGUGUUCAGACAUUCAAUAAGUUAUGCGAGGGAGUAAAUCAAGAGCAUAUUCUAGAGCCUAUUUGUGAUCGUGUUUCGUUAAAGAGAUUCAGAUCAGUUGGCUGGAGAACAUCCCAUUAUGCGAAGCUCCACAACCUCAAGAAUUCAAUGGUGCUUCCCGGAGUUAAAUGUCUUGAGGACUGGCGCAAGCUUUCUAUUCAUUGGGCCAAUGAUGACAGCGUUCGAGAGGCUCUUCAUGUCCGAAAGGGAACCAUCCAACAUUGGACACGAUGCAGGGGAGACUUAUCUUUUACAUACAAUGUCAAGAAUGUUGUGCCAUAUCACACCAACCUUAGCGCUAAAGGUUAUAGGUCACUUAUAUACAGUGGUGAUCAUGAUUUGACUAUCCCCUUUAUUUCAACUGAAGCAUGGAUUAGAUCACUAAACUACUCAGUUAUCGAUGAUUGGCGGAAAUGGAUUGUAAAUGGCCAAGUUGCUGGCUACACGAAGACUUAUUCUAAUAAUUUGACAUUUGCAACUGUGAAGGGAUCAGGCCAUGUUGCUCCUCUUUGGAAACCUUUAGAAUGUUUAACCAUGCUUACAAAAUGGAUCUCUUACAAACAACUUUAGGUUUUCUCAAGGUUUAGGAUGCUGAUAACUGAAAUGGAUGAUGUUGUUUCUUAACUGAUGCAUGUCGGAUUUUUCAAAAGUUGGGCAACUUUGGAGGACGUGACACGGAGUUGGAAAAAUAAUUUUUAGGAAUCGCUGGAAGGAACUCAUUGAACUACAACAAGAGCAGGAAGUAUCUUAAUUCCUCUGAUUGACACAAGAAGCAAGGCCAAAGAACAAAAGCUCGAGCAUAAUGAUGAAUUUGUAGCGUCUUAUGUGGAUACUUUGUUGAAUUUGGCAUUGCCAGAGGAAAACAGGAACCUCAAUCAUGGAGAAAACGUAAGCCUCUGUAGUGAAUUUCUAAGCGUCAGAACUGAUACGAUGUCCACUUUCUUAGAGUGGGUUAUGGCCAACUUGGUCAAAAAACCCUCCAUUCAGGAAAAACUAUAUCAAGAAAUUGCCAGUGUAGUGGGAGACAAUCAGUUCACAGAAGAGGUGGUGAAGGAAGAAGAUUUGCAAAAAAUGCCUAACUUGAAAGCAGUGGUAUUGGAAGGUCCUAGGCGGCACCCACCGAGUCACUUUGUGCUACAUGGGGAAAGGAUGAGAUAACGAAGGGUUUGAUAUAACAGGAAGUAGGGAUAUCAAUAUGAUGUCAUUCGGCGCAGGGAGGAGAAUACGUCCAGGCUAUGCUUUGGCUAUACUUCACUUGGAAUAUUUCGUGGCUAAUUUGGUUUGGCGUUUUCAAUGGAAGCCUCUGGAAAGAGGUGACAUUGAUCAAAUUCACUGUUAUGAUGAAGAAUCCACUACGAGAUUAUAUUUGCCCCAGAGUUGUUUCCGUUUGAAUUUAGUAAUUGGUUCUUUUUAUUUGCAUCUUCUCUGUUGAUAGACUUCCAUCCCAUGGGAAGUUAGAGGGAAAAUGAUGGGUAAUGCCUUGUUGUAGUGUCAGCUCAGCUUGUUUGAGUGGUUGACUGAUACUUUAAUAAAAUAUUAGUUUUAAUUGUUA